rnacentral:rRNA from 1 species
GUUUAAUUCGAAGCAACGCGAAGAACCUUACCAAAUCUUGACAUCCUCUGACCCCUCUAGAGAUAGAGUUUUCCCCUUCGGGGGACAGAGUGACAGGUGGUGCAUGGUUGUCGUCAGCUCGUGUCGUGAGAUGUUGGGUUAAGUCCCGCAACGAGCGCAACCCUUAAGCUUAGUUGCCAUCAUUAAGUUGGGCACUCUAAGUUGACUGCCGGUGACAAACCGGAGGAAGGUGGGGAUGACGUCAAAUCAUCAUGCCCCUUAUGAUUUGGGCUACACACGUGCUACAAUGGACAAUACAAAGGGUAGCGAAACCGCGAGGUCAAGCAAAUCCCAUAAAGUUGUUCUCAGUUCGGAUUGUAGUCUGCAACUCGACUAUAUGAAGCUGGAAUCGCUAGUAAUCGUAGAUCAGCAUGCUACGGUGAAUACGUUCCCGGGUCUUGUACACACCGCCCGUCACACCACGAGAGUUUGUAACACCCGAAGCCGGUGGAGUAACCAUUUGGAGCUAGCCGUCGAAGGUGGGACAAAUGAUUGGGGUGAAGUCGUAACAAGGUAGCCGUAUCGGAAGGUGCGGCUGGAUCACCUCCUUU